UUGCCAAUUCGAGAACUCCCAUAGAUGCCCUACAACAAAUAGAAAAUCCUUUCUUCCCAAAAAACGGUCAUGAAACCAAAAAUCCUCUCAACCGCUACGCGCAGCUCUGCAACUAGGGCACGAAAGGAUCAGCGACCUUACACCUAAAAGCGUUUGUUUCUCUGUUAUUUUCCCUUUGUGAUCUGUUUUUCCUUCUGUUUGCAUCAGAUCUUUUGACUUCUUCUCUCGUUUACCUUUGUUUUUUAGUAACUCUUCGAGGUUAGGGGCGGAAAAGCCAUGGUCAGUCGGAAAAAUGGCGUUACUUUUCCAUGAUUUUGCCCUAAUUAGAACUUAUUCAACUCAAAUCCACCUGGGGUAUUUGACACAUUAGACAUAGUCUCGUCGAUUGUAGUUUCAGUGCCGUUUUUUUAUUCUUUUGGCAUCUCCAUUGUCAUUUCAGUUGUAUUGAAAUUGAACAAUCUCAUUGAGUCUGCUAAACCCGUCUAAUGAAUACGCGAGGUAGGUAUCCACCCGGGAUCGGUAACGGUCGCGGUGGAAACGUUAACGCAAACCCUAAUUUUCAAGCCAGAAACCCUCAACAACAGUAUGUGCAGAGGAGUACCGUGCAAAACCCGCAGCAGUUUCAGCAGCAGCAGCAACAGCAGUGGUUGAGAAGGAAUCCCAUGGGGACUGAAUCUGGUUCUAACGAAGUUGAAAAAACAGUACAGUCGGAAGCUGUUGAUUCGAGUUCUCAAGAUUGGAAGGCGCGGCUGAAGAUACCUCCAACUGAUACACGUUACAAGACAGAGGAUGUUACAGCUACUAAAGGAAAUGAAUUUGAGGACUAUUUUCUGAAGCGUGAGCUCCUAAUGGGAAUCUAUGAGAAGGGGUUUGAAAGACCUUCUCCUAUCCAGGAAGAAAGUAUUCCUAUUGCUUUAACAGGAAGUGAUAUUCUUGCUAGGGCUAAAAAUGGAACUGGGAAAACAGCUGCAUUCUGCGUUCCUGCAUUGGAAAAAAUUGAUCAGGACAACAAUGUUAUUCAAGUUGUUAUAUUGGUCCCAACACGAGAAUUGGCUCUUCAGACAUCACAAGUCUGUAAGGAGCUUGGGAAGCAUUUGAAGAUCCAAGUCAUGGUCACCACUGGAGGAACUAGCUUAAAGGAUGAUAUUAUGCGUUUGUAUCAACCUGUCCAUUUGCUUGUUGGGACUCCUGGCAGGAUACUUGAUCUUGCAAAAAAGGGUAUUUGCAUCUUGAAAUAUUGCUCAAUGCUUGUUAUGGAUGAGGCAGACAAGCUUUUGUCUCCUGAAUUUCAACCAUCAGUGGAUCAGCUAAUUCGUUUUCUGCCAGAAAAUCGACAAAUUUUGAUGUUUUCUGCAACAUUUCCAGUGACUGUGAAGGAUUUCAAAGAAAGAUAUUUGCACAAGCCUUACAUUAUUAAUCUCAUGGAUGAACUUACCCUAAAGGGUAUAACACAAUAUUAUGCUUUUGUUGAAGAAAGGCAGAAGGUCCAUUGUCUAAACACUCUUUUCUCUAAGCUUCAAAUUAACCAGUCAAUCAUAUUCUGCAAUUCGGUGAAUCGGGUGGAACUGUUGGCAAAGAAAAUAACAGAGCUUGGUUAUUCAUGCUUCUACAUUCAUGCCAAAAUGUUGCAAGAUCAUCGUAAUCGAGUAUUUCAUGAUUUUCGAAAUGGUGCUUGCCGAAAUCUUGUUUGUACGGAUUUGUUUACGAGGGGGAUAGAUAUUCAAGCAGUCAAUGUUGUUAUAAACUUUGAUUUCCCAAAGAACUCAGAGACAUAUCUUCACAGGGUUGGUCGAUCAGGUAGGUUUGGACACCUUGGGCUGGCUGUUAAUCUGAUUACCUAUGAAGACCGCUUUAAUUUGUAUAGGAUUGAGCAAGAGCUUGGUACAGAAAUAAAGCAAAUUCCUCCACACAUAGACCAGGCUAUUUACUGCAGGUGACCUGUGAUAGUAAUCUCGCUGUGAUCAUCAAUGGUGAGUAAAAGCAAAGAUCUGGCUACGUGUACAUACAGAGGCUUAUGAAGGUUGAAUAAUCUUUCCUACUAUGAAGAUAGCUGACUGCAUUUGAGCGAUUAUCUUGAAGAUGGAGUUAUAGAAAAUGCAAGUGUCUGCAGACUAUUUGUUCUCGUAUUUCAAUUCUCUGCUGUUCGAAGUUAGUGGAUUUUCAUAAUUCUAUACAUUUGCUAGGUCGAGAGAAGAAUCUUUAGAAUGGUUUAUUGAUCCAGAGUGUUGGAUUUUGUUAUGUUGAUACUUGUUUGUCCAAAGUAUUAUUUGCACACGGCACAUGGUUUCAUUACUUUCUUUUAAGAUAUCCCAAGUUAACAUUUCUCUAA